rnacentral:rRNA from 1 species
GGCGUGCUUAACACAUGCAAGUCGAACGGGAUCCAUCAAGCUUGCUUGGUGGUGAGAGUGGCGAACGGGUGAGUAAUGCGUGACCAACCUGCCCUGUACUCUGGAAUAGCUCCUGGAAACGGGUGGUAAUGCCGGAUGCUCCACAUGGGUGCAUGCCUGUGUGGGAAAGGGUUUACCGGUAUGGGAUGGGGUCGCGUCCUAUCAGCUUGACGGCGGGGUAAUGGCCCACCGUGGCUUUGACGGGUAGCCGGCCUGAGAGGGCGACCGGCCGCAUUGGGACUGAGAUACGGCCCAGACUCCUACGGGAGGCAGCAGUGGGGAAUAUUGCACAAUGGGGGGAACCCUGAUGCAGCGACGCCGCGUGCGGGAUGACGGCCUUCGGGUUGUAAACCGCUUUUGAUUGGGAGCAAGCGUUAAGUGAGUGUACCUUUCGAAUAAGCGCCGGCUAACUACGUGCCAGCAGCCGCGGUAAUACGUAGGGCGCAAGCGUUGUCCGGAAUUAUUGGGCGUAAAGGGCUCGUAGGCGGCUCGUCGCGUCUGGUGUGAAAGUCCAUCGCUUAACGGUGGAUCUGCGCCGGGUACGGGCGGGCUGGAGUGCGGUAGGGGAGACUGGAAUUCCCGGUGUAACGGUGGAAUGUGUAGAUAUCGGGAGGAACACCAAUGGCGAAGGCAGGUCUCUGGGCCGUUACUGACGCUGAGGAGCGAAAGCGUGGGGAGCGAACAGGAUUAGAUACCCUGGUAGUCCACGCCGUAAACGGUGGACGCUGGAUGUGGGGCCCAUUCCACGGGUUCCGUGUCGGAGCUAACGCGUUAAGCGUCCCGCCUGGGGAGUACGGCCGCAAGGCUAAAACUCAAAGAAAUUGACGGGGGCCCGCACAAGCGGCGGAGCAUGCGGAUUAAUUCGAUGCAACGCGAAGAACCUUACCUGGGCUUGACAUGUUCCCGGCGACAUCAGAGAUGGUGUUUCCCUUCGGGGCGGGUUCACAGGUGGUGCAUGGUCGUCGUCAGCUCGUGUCGUGAGAUGUUGGGUUAAGUCCCGCAACGAGCGCAACCCUCGCCCCGUGUUGCCAGCACGUCAUGGUGGGAACUCACGGGGGACCGCCGGGGUUAACUCGGAGGAAGGUGGGGAUGAC